AUUGGCACGCUCACAUACACCCGGAACCUGCAACGAAUAGCUUUUAUCUUUCAUCAAUGAAUAUCUUUUUAUAGCUAUGCAUUACAGUAAUAUUGUUGUGUAUUUUCGCAAAUAAUGUUAUUGAUUGUAAGUAAGGCAAAGCUAUAUAAAUGUGUGGUGCCUUGCUAUGUUUUGUAACCCAUGAAGAUGCUGAUAUGAAGAGGUCGUUUCAGAUAAUCACUUGUGUUCUGAUAAUCACGUUUAAAUAAAAAUAUACCACACAAGCAGCUACUUAAAGUAUACUACCAUUAUGUAAAUUCUGAUUAAAUAUAGUCUACUGUGAAAAUGUUUUCAGAACGUCACUGAAUAUGGAACCAAUUUGAACGGUACUUUGUUUCAGGGGGACAUAAAUGACCACAGCAACGGUUUGUUUUUAUCGGAAGUAUAUCGCAAGCCUGCGCAAUCCGUUCAUUGGUCCGUGCUUCUAUAACUUCAAUGUUCUACUAACAAAAAAACUGUUAGAAUUGUAAGUGUAUGUAUGUCCCUUAAGGUCCUUGUGUAAUUGUAAUGUGAUAUUGUACACCCAAGCGCGAUUGUCCAUUGUAUAUAAUCUAUGUAUACUUGUGUUCCCUCAAAAAAAAAAAAUGUAAAUGUUCCCAUUUCUUAUUUUUAUGACAGAAAUCAAGAAAGUUUAUUUAUGAAUUUGUAAUUGAAAGGUUUACAUAUUAGAAUGUUAGUCAGUUACAGUAACAGCUCUGAAGAGGAAAUAGAAAAUGUGCUAUUAGAGGAUGUAACAAAAAGGCUACGAUACUGGCACAGAGAUGACAACUCAUUAAGGAAGAAGCACAAAUCAGAGGAACACACCACCAAAACAAGGGGGGAAGAUGACUCCAAGUCCAGACUGCCUCUUCCUGGCAUUGUGCUGGACAUGUUUACAGAGGAAGAUGAUGACCCACAGACUGGACAACAUACAACAUGGUGGACGGAUUCGCUCUUUCAAACAUGAGAGGAGAGGAAACUGGACCACUUAAGUGUACUUUCCACACAUCCCAGAGGAAGGGUUCUUGGAGCUGCUUGAUGAGAUGACUAAAGUAGCAGGAUCCCAUGACAUCUCCCUCACUCAUACAGACGAGUUUCACCUCAGUCUAAGACAGUGGUUCUGAGGCAUCACUGGAUCCAGCCUUUCAUACAGUCCCUCAGAACAGGCUUGGCACAUGGCAGGAGGUCUGCUAUAGUACAACCAACAUUUAUGUUUUGUCCCUUUUGUUUGUGGAAUUGGUGUUACUAUUCUCUGUUAUAUUUUGGUAAGAGGAUGCAUGUCACCAGAGGUAUACUGGCAGGAAACAAAUACUCUGCUAAAUAGUCUGAAUGAGGUAAAGUGAUUGCAAUCUUUUUUAUAGGUUAAUUUCUUUGGCUGAGAAGCUGAACGUCUACUCUAAUGAUGAUACAACCAGGUAUAGUAGGAUCUCUUAUCACGAUGAGUGAGACAGGCCUCCUGCCAUGUGCCAAGCCUGUUCCGGGCAUGCCCCCAUUCACAUCGACGCGGCUGUAGUGUAGCGGUUCGAGAGCUUCAAGUUCCUCAGUGUCCACAUCAUUAAGGAUCUAUCAUGGGCCAAACACACCAACACAGUCGUGAAGAGGGCAUGACAACUUCGCUUUCUCCUCAGGAAGCUGGAAAAAUUUAGCAUGGGCUCUCAGAUCCUCAUAAAGUUCUACAGCUGCACCAUUGAGAGCAUCAUGACUGGCUGCACCACCACUUGUUAUGGCAACUGCUUGGCAUCCGAAGCACAAAUGGUCUAGUACAUCACUGGGGCUGUGCUCCCUACCAUACAGGACCUUUAUACCAGGCUGUGUCAGAGGAAGGCCCUAAAAAUUGUCAGACUCCAGCCACCCGUCAUAGACUGUUUUCUCUGCUACCUCUCGGCAAGCAGUACCGGAGCGCCAAAUCUGGGUCCAAGAGGCUCCUGAUCAGUUUCUAGCCCAAAGCCAUAAGACUGCUGAACAGUUCAUCAAAUGGCUACCUGGACUAUUUGCAUUUCACUGGCUCUACUCACACAUACUACACUGACAUUCCAACACACACUACAUACACUCACACAGACAUGCAUAUUGACACCACUCACACAGACACACUUUCACAAUCUUCACAUACGCAGCUGGUACUCUGUUUAUUAUCUAUCCUGAUUGCCCAGUCACUUUUACCCCUACCUACAUGUAAAUAUUACCUCAACUACCUCAUACCCCUGCACAUUGACUCAGUACUGGUACUCCUUGUAUACAGCCUUGUUAUUUUGUCACUAUUUCCUUUUAUACUUAGCAAAUUUAGGUUACUUUAACUCUGCAUUGUUGGGAAGGGGCUUGUCAGUAAGCAUUUCACGGUAGUCAACACCUAUUUUUAUUUUCUUGAUUUGACAGCAUGAUCAUGUACAAGAUCAUAGUCUUACGAUCUAGUAUUCUGCUCUCCCCUACAGGACAUUACUGGCUAUGGAAGUCGCCACAGGACAGGCUCAGCUACAAGAGCUUAUGAAAGCAGUGGACGGCACCAUGGAGGAGUUCACCCUUGACACUUUUUACAAGAAUCCUUCCUUCCAUGUAAGUCUGACCUGGUGUGUUGGUGACUGCACGGAACACAUUCGCAAAGAGUGUCUGCAGGAGUUGCAGGGUUUGGUUGACUCCCAUGAGGAUGGAGCCUUCCUGUUGAGACUGGACUGUCAAGAGUUGCAACGUUAGUCUGGGAACAAGACCUUUUCGCUACACUGACAACCAGUUCUCGUUCAUUCUGUGGUCAACUGUAAUGUUGUGAAACCUGAAAAAUGUUCAUAAUUGACCUACAGAAUGAAACAGUUGUCAACUAAAGCUUUUGUUAGAUUAAGCUUUACAGGCCUAAAUCCAUUUUUAAAGUGGUACUUGUGAACUAGAAGGAUAGAAUUCAUUAAUGAACCUUUUUGAUUAAAGAGGAUAUAAUAAUCCUGAACUAACACUCCAGACGACAGGACCCAAUGACUUAUGGCGCAAUCACUCGUGGCUUUCUGAGGAGUUCAGAAACCCUGAUUAAGUGUUGCAGGUGCAUAUGGUAGGUCCUGUUUGAUCCGUGAAAGUACUGAAGUAGAUGUGUUAAGACAUCUGAGGGGAAGAGGUAGGCUCUUUCGCCAGACAAUGGGCGCGCUGCACGCAUGCUCCACGGCAGCUGUGAGACUAGGGAAGAGGAACCUCUGAGGCUGAUGAAACAGAGUUCCAAUUUUUCACUCCCUCUUACUUUAACAGAGCUCCCACAGAAGGCCAGCUUAAUGCAAUGUUCAACAUUACAUUUUACUUAAUAGUCACAGGGCAGCACACAAACAUAUCAUGAUAGUACCAUCAAUAACAUAUUGGUCAAGCCCAACCAUAGCGCAAUGGCACAGUUACAAUCAAGCUGAUCGGACAGCAAUCUAGCCUUGACAAAAGGACCUGAAUUUAUGCAUUAAUCACAGCUCAAUACUGGACAUACUGCUACUUCUGAGGAUCACAUUAAACAGUUAACCUGGUUUGAUUUAGAUUGGAAGUGUUACAUUUUUUAAAAUAAUAGCUGACAUGUUUAGGAACAAAAUUACAGGCAUUACCGUCAUUUAUUUCUUUAUGUUAUACAUACAGAAUAUGAACCGGUAUACUAUACAUACGGUGACCUACAGAACAAAACCAAAUGUAACGCUUUGUAACAGCAGAAAAGGUCUGAAUAAAAAAAAUGAAUACGAAAG